UCGACCGGCGCCUCCCCUGCCCAUCUCGCGCCGUCCACUCUCUAGAUUGUCAUUCCACAUCUCCGGUAAUGUUCUCUCCCCACCUGAAUGGAUCAAUCUUUUGAGUGCCUUAUUCAAUUUGUAACUCCACUUGAUAGUGGUUAGGGUUUUGGUAUUGAUCAUCUUUUUCUCUCCAUAUUACUGGUUUUGGGGAUGUUCUCGCCUGUCAAUUUCGUCACCAAGGUCAAUUGAUUGGUCCAGGGAUAUGUUUCCCUCGUGAUUGAUUUCCUUUUCUUCUCUCACAUCUGAUCUGGUUGGCAAGAUUUAGGCUUUUUUCCCCUUUCCCUGUUCCUCUAGCGUUGCCAGGAUUCCUUGAUGCAGAUCUGGUUCAAUUUACACGCUGCACUAAGCUUCACUUUCUUCUAUGCCUUUUGUUUCAUUGGUUUAAUUACUUUCCUUGCGUACCUGUUGGUUCAACAUUUACAGAUGCCUUUUGUCCUCUCAUGACUUGAGUGAAUAAAAGAAUAACUUCAGAUUUUUUUCUAUAUAUUUGACCUUUAGCCUUGAUGCUCCAUUAUUCUAUUUGGAGAAAAGGCCAUCUCACAGGUUAGGCAUCCUAACUGAAGCAAAGCUGGCUUCAUAUUUUGUGGCGAUUCUGGUAGUUCUGCUUUUUUAGAACACUGUUGGUGUUCAAAAAGUCCGUGACAUAUGAAUAGUUAUACUUUUAUCCUAUAGCCAAAAGCCCAAAAGACCGAAUGCUUAACAUGCUGCUUCAUGUAUGCACCUUCGUGCGGGGUUGGACUGUGAUUACCAUGUGCACAACUAGCACAUUUGGGGUCUGAGCUAUGGUUUGAGAUGUUAUGGAAAACUGGACAGAGCCUUUGAUGUAGGAUACGUUGCCUCUGACAGAAUAGGAUAUUAGCAUCCCACGCAGGUGUCGCACCUUGUUCAUGAGAAUGGAUACAUGACGGAACAGUUGCAUAAGGUGAGCCUUUAUUUUGCUGUAUUUCAACCCAUUAGUUUUUUUAAAAUCCUACUGCCAAAGUAAAAAUGCUUCCCAAGCAAUUAUGGGUUAUUAAGUUAUAUUUCACUAUGAUAUUAAUGAUGUGCUAUUUUAAAUACAUUUUGCAACCAAAUUGACCAUCAAUGGUGCGUGAUCAGUUAGACUUGAUUGCUUGGUGUUUUGUAGCCUUGAUCACUUAGUGUUAAGUUUUCUAUUCAGGUCCAAAACAUCAUGCACAUAUAUUUGAACUGGAUUGGAUCAUUUCAGAAUAAUUAGUUACCUUCAGAAAUAGGGAUGCCAAUUUCAGUAAUCAUAAUCUUGUUUUUUAUUUAGUAAUGAUGUUGCUAACCAAUUUCAUUUAAUCAUGAACCUUUUAUGUCAUAUUUGUACUCCAUGUCCAAAAAUAUCAUACACGAAUACUAGACUAAUCUAAACAGUUGUGGAAUGGAAUAAUCAUCUGGGUUCAGGAUCAUAGAUGCUAUUUUUUUCUUACUAUCUCUUAUCAACUUUAAUGCUCUAGGCUAUGUUGGAAGUAUCACCACAGCUUAAUGAAUCAAAGAAGAUGGAUGGUUAAUCCUUCUACUGCUGUCCUUUUUCGCAUUAGUUAGAACUGUCUCUUCUGAAGAGCCAAAAGAAUCCUUACUGCACACAUCUCUUUUGCAGCAAACUGUUUCAGCUACUAUAUAAUCUGACAACCUUAUUGCACACAUCUCUUUUGCAGGUUGUUCUUCACCUGACAGGUAAAAGGUCUAAAGCAUCCUUUGCAUAUUGUGUGCAAAUCUUCUUUUCAUAUGUUACUGAUUGUUUCAAAUAUUCUGGUAGCAUCUUUAUGUUAGGCAAAGGACCAACGGUUAUAGGAUUCUUUUGUUGUAUGAUGUUUUCCAUCACGAUAUGCAUACCAUUCAAUUAUUUCCAUAAAACAUGCCAAUUUAAUAUUUCCACAAUUGGAUGACACGAUUUUCAAAAAUUGAUGUGUUUAUGGUACAUUCUAGGAGGACUAAAUAGUAAUUUUUUGACUCAAUUGUAUGGUUGAAGUAAGGUAAAAUGAUUGCAAACUGCAUAUGAUUUUAGAACUUAAAUUUACCUAUAUGUUAGUCCAAGUAAAACUCCUGCGACAAUGCUUGCAUACAUUGCCCCACCAGACCCAAUUAUUUGCCUAGCUACUUAAUCCUAUACUGAACUAUUAAUGAGGGAACUCAUGAACAUAAGGCUGCUUCACUGCUCCAAAUAAAGCUCCUACAAAAUGUAGAAGCUGUCCCGCUUCUUUGUGUUUGAAUCUCUUCAGUCGAGUACUGUUGUAUAAUUAGGAUAAACAGGACACAUCCAUCUAAACUGAGCUUUAUCCUAAUUAUAAUUUCAGAGCUAAUUUUUUUGGUUCUCAUUGAUUUGAAUGGCAACCAGGACAAUGUACAUGGCAGCAGUUUUGGGGAGCAUGUGAGUUCACGUCGAUGAUAAUCAAGGUGAGUACUGAUAUGUAAUGUCUAAAGCUUUUGUAUUUAGAAUAAAAUGUUAUAGUCACCUGCAUGAAAACCUCUUGCUGUGAAAUGCCUAUACAAUCCUUUUUGUAUGUUGCAUGGGAACCAUACAAGAUUUGUGCUUAGACACACAUAGAACUUUUGGGAUCAGUGAUAGGCUGUUCGAAUGAUUAGUUCACCAUAAGGAUUUUUGUUAGUUUCAUUAGUCUAUGCUAUUACUGUGUAAGACAUGUUCCAAAAAGCAUAAAUCUUACCACUGAAUUAGGUCUAUUUAGUUGCUGCAUUGCUACAAAGAAAUUAUGAUCAAGCACUGCAAUUUUAUUCUGUGCAAUUACUCAUCUAGAAUACAUUUAAUUGAUGUUAUUGAAUUGCCAAAACUUACCUUCAUUAUCUUUUUCUGUUUAAAUUCUGAAUGUAAUUGCAGGUACACUUUGUGUGGUACAUAUUUUAGCUUCAAUGAAAUUUAGAGAGAAAUGCAGCUUUCAUAUUUUCUUUCUUAUCUGCACUUCUUACCUAGCGAUGAUAUCAAAUCAUUAACUCUGCGAGGACUUAUAUUUGGUAAGGUAUGUGUAUACCUAUAUGCACUGACAAAAAUAGAUGUUUACUUGAGCCCAUCAUUUAUAUGGUAUAUAUGCAGCUUCUCAUCUUAUUCCGACUUCUGCUGCUCUAAAUUCUAUAUGCAACUUCGGUCUCAUCUUUUUCUGACUCUUGAUGCUCUAAAUUCUACAUAGAUUGCUAAUGGGCAUGGAGGGUAUCAUGAGAUUUAUCCAAGUUUCUUACCAAGGGGCAUCACCCUAUUUUGAAUCUGCAAUGCUGCAAACAAAAGCUACAGGGAAUCAAUCUUAGAAGAAAUUCAGAUAAUCAUCUUUUCUCAACUUUGCUACUGCAAUAGGCGAUGAUAGCUCUACCUUCAUAUACAUUGGCUCAUACUGAGCAACUAAGGCCCUACACACGCAUGGAGCCAAUACAAUCUUUUGCUUUCUAUGGGUACAUUAUCACUUACUAUUUGUAAAUAUUGUUGUUUCCACCUUUCAAGAGACAUUGGAUCCAUACCUAUUUUCUUCGUUUUGGUAGAAGAAAUAUCGAUGCCCUCCCACGGUACAGCUCUCUGCAAUAGCUCUUCGGGUUGAUUCCUACAUUUUACAAUUUAUGAUAUGGCCAGGGCACUUUAAAGCCAUUUUUAAUUUGAUGCAACCCCUAGCAAUGCACUUACAAAUGUAGUGCAAUGC
rnacentral:lncRNA from 1 species